GGCCACUUUCUCCACUCCUCCCACUCCCUUCCAGAGAAAUAAACGCAAGUGAAUCUCCGGGAACGCACAUCUCUUUUUGGAGCCCCGGAGCGCGGCCGGUGUCGUCGCGUCACCCAAGCUUCCAGUGUUCCCGACGUUCCAGGCCGAGAUACAGGGUGGUGCUGCUCAUUCUAGUUCAUCUUCCUCCCAGAUGUAACACCGUCAAGAAUCAGCCCAAGCCGAGCUCCAGGCGUGGAGAACGCUCGCCUUCUUUCCUCAGCCCCGAUCUAGACACGUUGGCUUUGUUCCUCCCUGUCCGAUCUAGUCGUUCUCGGGUCCUCAUCGUGUUCAUUGUGUUGCCGGGCAUCUCCAACGCCGUCGAUGCUUCCUGGACCUCUCCGACCCCUUUCAGCUGCACGGUGAGACACUGCAUACCCCUGAACACCCCAUGCAUGCACCCAUAUAGCCCAUUCAGAGCUGUAGCUCGACACGCAUGCACAUACCAAGAACCACCGCCGCUGUAG
rnacentral:lncRNA from 1 species